UAACUGCAAUGGUGUUCGUCCGCGAGGAGGGUGAGUGGUUUGGUGGUGGCGUUUGGGUUUUGAAGAGGUUGAAGGUGGGUCGCGAGGUUGGACGGAGGUGUGGGUCGUGAUGCACGGUGGCUUUGUGUGAAGUGUGAUGGUUGAGAGAUGACGGUGGGAGUUAGCGGCGGAGACGAUUUGGGUCGUGGGUUUGUGUGGCGAUGGAAGACGGUGGUGCGGUGGAGGUUCAGGGUUGGAGUGAGGGCUUGGUGUUGAGAGUGGAAGAGUGAAUGAAAUGUGAGAGGGUUUCGUGUAGUUGAUGGGAAGGAGGCGGAGGCGAGGGUUUUGCGUGAGGGUUUUGUGAGGUUGAGUUUUGUGAGGUUGUUGAGAGAUGAUGGCGGUGGUUGAAGGAUUUAGGUGAAGGAGUGUUUUGUAUUUGCUUUCUUUUUUCAGAAAGAGUGAGCGAGACGAGAGAGAAGAGGGUGAGGUUGUGUGAGCUGAGAGUGGGGACGCAUGUUGUUAAAAUGAGUGGAGAGUGUGUGAGAGAUAUCCUUUUUCUUUUUUUGUUUUUUAUGUGAGGAGGGAAUCCAAUGCACAUAAGUUUUUUAUAAUUAUUAUUCAUUUAAAUAACAAGUCAUAAAAAACUAACUAAUAUUUAAUUUAAACACAUUCUAAUUAUUUUAAUUAAAUAUCUAACCAAAAAACAUUGACCCAUUAAAAACAGAAAUCGAGUACAAAUUUGUUCGAAAAGAUGAACCGGUCACACUAAAAUUGUCAGGACAAAAAAUACUUAUUAAAAAAAAUACAGCCUUUCCUCAAAUUCUGAAAUAAUUUUGCACUGAUUAAAAGGCUCAGGCGGUUCAAGAUAUAACCGAAACAGUCACUGUUGAUUUUGCCUAUUCUUGAGAAAUGAUUCAACUGAUUGGUCUGCCUUUUCAAUAAAUACAUUCUGACUGGCACUUUAGGCAUUAUUCAUGAUGCAAUGUAUGUCAUGCUAUGCAUAUGAUGCAAAAAUGAAAAUGAAAUCAGUUCUAUGAAAGUUGUAAAUAUGCCCGGACAAAAUUGGGGUAUGAUAGCUGCCCCUAUUUAAUUAACUUGAACUAGAAGGUAAGAAUGACGAUAGUCUUCAUACAUUCAUGGUGGAAGGUAAUUAAAUACGAAAAGAUCCAAAUUUUGUCCUUUGAAAUGCAAUGGAAUGGAUGCAGAAAGAAGAUGUAAUGGAUUCUAACAGCACCAAGGUGAUAGGGGUAGAAAGCCAAAUCAAUGUCAACCCUCGAGUCGACAUUCAGGUCUUGCAAAGGUCGUUAUUGGUGUGAGACAAAAACUGGACAUGUUUUCUGGCACCAAAAAGAUGACAGUGGAGUUAGUUUCUAUCACCAAAAGGAUGACAGAGAUUCACCAUGAUUUCCAGGAUCGUCAUCACCAAAAGGAUGAUGGCUAAGUUGAGCUUCAGAAGUAGUUAUCACCAAAAGGAUGAUGUCCGUCACCAAAAGGAUGAUGUUUAUUCUGAUAAAGUUUUCCGAUUACCGAGAGUAUAAUAUCAAGGCUAUCACCAAAAGGAUGAUAGUUGACUCAUCAACUUCAAAUAUCACCGUCACCAAAAGGAUGAAGGUAAUAUCCAACAAUCAAAACUUGUUAUCACCAAAAGGAUGAUAAUAAGUCAAAUAACUUCAAUGAUCACCAUCACCAAAAGGAUGAAGGUAUAAUCACACAAAAAACUUGUUAUCACCAAAAGGAUGAUAAUAAGUCGAAACUCCAUGAUCACCAUCACCAAAAGGAUGAAGGUAUAAUCACACAACAAACUUGUUAUCACCAAAAGGAUGAUAAUAAGUUGAAACUCAAUGAUCACCAUCACCAAAAGGAUGAAGGUAUAAUUAAAACAGAACUUGUUUCCACCAAAAGGAUGAUAAUAAGUCACACAACUCAAAGAAUCCCCAUCACCAAAAGGAUGAUAGUAAGAUCAAAACAAAACCUUGUUACCACCAAAAGGAUGAUAAUAAGUCAACAAUCACCAUCACCAAAAGGAUGAAGGUAUAAUUAAAAGACAAAACUGUUACCGCCAAAAAGGACGAUAAUAAGUCGACAAUCACCAUCACCAAAGGAUGAAGUAAUAUUAAAAGACACAACUGUUAUCGCCAAAGGACGAUAAUAAGUCACACAACGCAUGAUCACCAUCACCAAAAGAUGAAGUAAGAUCAAGACCAACUUGUUUCACCAAAAGAGAUAAAAGUCAACAGAUCACCACACCAAAAGAAAGGUAUGUUCAAACGACAAAACUUGUACACAAAAGGAUGAUAAUAAGAAACACAACGCAUUGAUCAACCUCACCAAAGAUGAAGUAGGAUCAAGACCACCUGGUUAAUCACCAAAAGGAUGAAGGUAAGGUCAAACGACAAAACUUGUUACCACCAAAAGGAUGAUAAUAAGCACUCAGCGCAAUUGAUCACCAUCACCAAAAGGAUGAAGGUAGGAUCGAGACACAAACUUGUUAUCACCAAAAGGAUGAUAAUAAGUCAACAAUCACCAUCACCAAAAGGAUGAAGGUAUUGUCAAACAACAAAACUUGUUACCACCAAAAGGAUGAUAAUAAGUACAUAACUUCAAAACUUGUUAUCACCAAAAGGAUGAUAAUAAGCUGAAACAGACUCAAUGAUCGCCAUCACCAAAAGGAUGAGGGUAAGAUCAAAACAAAACUCAUUAUCACCAAAAGGAUGAUAAUGAGCCCAUAACUCAAAUGGUCACGGUCACCAAAAGGAUGAAGGUAAGACCAAUCAACAAAACUUGUUACCACCAAAAGGAUGAUAAUAAGUCAAAACUUCAAAACUUGUUAUCACCAAAAGGAUGAUAAUAAGUCGACAAUCACCAUCACCAAAAGGAUGAAGGUACUACAAACAACAGGACUCGUUAUCACCAAAAGAAUGAUAAUGAAUCAACAAACACCAUCACCAAAAGGAUGAAGGUGAGAUCAUAACUUUGAAACUUGUUACCACCAAAAGGAUGAUAAUAAGUUAUAAUAACUUCAACUAUUGCCGACACCAAAAGGAUGACAGUGGGAUUGAACUUUCCAAAUGUCAGCAUCACCAAAAGGAUGAUGGCUUAAACCAAGCUUUAUAAUCUCUAUCACCAAAAGGAUGAUAUUUAGCUUUGAACUGGACAUCAUCACCAAAAGGAUGAUGGUUGAACCAAAAUGACAAGGAUCCUUAUUACCACAAGGAUCGCCGACACCAAAAGGAUGACGGUAGGCUGUAAUAAUUGCAGAGGUCACCACUCACCAAAAGGAUGAAGGUUGGACCAAAGCUUCAGGGAUCUUCGACACCAAAAGGAUGACAGUAAGAUCGCAAAUGUCAAGGGUUUACCAUUACCAAAAGGAUAACGGCCACCAUAAACAGGGUGAUGGUUAAUAUUAUUCCUCAAUGGACUUUCACCAAAAGGAUGACAGUGAGAAAAAUAUUGGAACCACCAUAAACAGGGUGAUGGUUAAUAUUAUUCCUCAAUGGACUUUCACCAAAAGGAUGACAGUGAGAAAAAUAUUGGAAAAAUAAGGCUACUGUCAAAGUUCAGUAAACCUGAUUUGCUGGGUAGUGUUGGAACAUCACUGGGUAAGAUUUUCUUGGGGUAUCAACAACAAAAGGUUGCAGAACCAAUAUUCUCUGGGGAGAUGUAGUUUCUAUCAACAAAAGGUUAUAGGAAACGACUCAUUGAGGGAUGCUCAACGCGAAACAAGGUAAGUGUUUAGAGAAACAUUGUUUGACUAAGCUGAGGAUAACAUCUUAUCAACAAAAGGUUGAAGGAUAUAUUUU
rnacentral:lncRNA from 1 species